CAGAUGCCCUGGAGCCAUCAAAUGACUUGUUCAAGGGGAUUAGAGCCCAGUGUGGGUAGACUUCCAGUCCCCUGGGGGACAAGGAGGGUGGGGAAGGAGGAAGCUACCAGUAGCUUUGUCCUGGGCCCUCUGUGGGCAGAGUGUACCCUGGGCACUUUGGGGCAAUUCUCCCCUGCCUGUGAACGCUGACAGCCAGGCUAGGAGUCCUGCACAUUCCUUAAAUCUCGGCCAGUGCCUUAAGCCUGCCUUCCGUUCGAGACUCCUGGGCCCCCUUCCCAGAUCUGCCGGGACCUCCAGCCACCCCCAGCCACUCCCCAGUGGGUGGAUAUGGAUGUGCUCUGUGUGGCCAGGCCAGAGAGGCUUCCUCCUGGGGACCCACUCAUAAUCCCAACGUCCACCCCCACCAGCCUCCACAUCAGAUUGCAAUAUUCCUUGUCUCCUGAUGAGGUGCUACAUCCUGAGGGGGGCGGCCAAAGCCGUGAUACCGGCCAGGAGUCGGAAGAGGGCCUCUGCUCCCAGCCCCAGCUGCCAGGAACCUAGGCAAGGCCCUCCCUUCGGUGAUUACUGGGGCCGGCGGUGCUUGAUUGGAGGCAGCAAGGCACCAUGGCAGAAACUCCCCGAGCAGAGGUGCAACAGCACCGAAGCCCCCGGAGACCAGCCUGGCCUAGAACAUCUGAUUCAGCCUGCGCCACCACGGCCUGCCUGUGCCAGCCCCUCCUGCUCUCCUGGCCCAGUCCCUACAAGCCUUGGCCUACCCUCCGUCCUUGGGCCCCUGAUCAGCAGCAGGGAUGACCAAAGACCCCCAUUCCCUUGUCACCGCCUGGAUGCAUGGCAGUGAGGCACGCCUCACAAAUGGGGCAACUGAAGUAGCAAAGGGGAAUCCUCAGCCACAUUGCAAGGGCAUACAGCAGAACCAAGUGCCAUGCCUGGCUUUCACGUGGUUACCUGUCUGUCCCUCCAAGCUGGGCAGCCCCUCAGAAAUGCCAGGGAAUCUGUGAAGCCCUUCUCCCACUCCCGUGCUGGACAAAGCACCUCCUUAGAUGAAAAUUCCAAGUCCUGUUUAGGAGAGACCUUGCUAUAAACACUUGCUAUAAAUUAAAACACCCUGAGUAAGGAGCUCCCUGAGACCACAGAGUUCUGUAGUGAGUACUGGGGUUGAGCUGCCCCUGCACCCCUGAGAGUGGGGGGCAGGAGUGGGGGGGCUGGACUCCCCCAGGAGCAGGAAGCCUAAGGUGGGGGGCAAUUUAACCCUUUAGGGCCCUAGAUAGGCUUCAAGUCCCAGGCUGGCCCUCGAAGGGCUCCCCCCUCUCCAAAAUAGGACAGGCUUGGAGAGGAAGGAUGGUUAUGGGGGAGGGAAAGGGUGAUAAUGAAAACAGCUCUCUCUGUAGGGCCAGCAGGAGACCGGCUGUGCUGAGGAAUGCAGAGUAAAUUCACCCAUCACUUGAUUUUUAUUUUUCCCAGCUGGCUGAAGUGGUGUGGGGUGGGAGGUGUCUGAGGAGGGCUGUGCUGCAUCCUGCAGGCUCUAGGGUGCACCUCCCUACCCACCAGCCUCAGCUUGCCCUGGAACAGCUACACACACACACACACACACACACACACACACACACACACACACCCAACCUAGCAAGUGUUUGGCUGACUCACUACAUAAACAACAUGUUGGGUUUUCUUUGUCUUUGCUUUGUUUUGAAUGUUAGCCCUCCCCCACAAGCUCUACAGUCCUCUGCAUGGCUCAGAGGAUGCCCAGGACCAAAUAUUCCUCCCAGCCAGAGAUGGGAGGGGCAAAGCAUUGAUCAGGUUGUGUGGAGUUUUUUUUUUGUUUUUUUUUUGCUUACUGUUCCCCUACCUGAGCCAGGUCAGGGAAUGCUAGAGAUCCUACAUAGAAAGGAAGUUGGACGGAGAUUGUUUGUCAGACGGGGAAACUGAAGCCCAGAGUCAGGCAGUGACUUGCCCAAGGUCACACGAUCAAAGAACAACAAAGGGCCAGAACAUAGGUCUUUGGGUUCACAAGCUGGCCACUUCUCUAUACACCCGAGUUUCCCAUCUGUAAAAUCGGAAUGAUAUGCAUUCCCUUCUUAUCUUUGGAGUGCAUGGUCAGGACUGCAGCUCACUUGUUUUCGUACCCUGAGCUGAACCUUCAGGGUGAGGGUCUGCUAGUGCCCAGUGCUCAUAAACUUAACCUGUGGCUAGUGGCUUUUGCCUUUUACCUUGCUUGUGGGCAGUGCAGCCUCAUCUUCUACCCAGGAAAGAGGCUGGAGAGACACCAAAAAAGUCACUCCUUUGCUCUCCUGCUGUAUGAGUAAGGGCCCUACUUUCUUCCCACCCCUCAUUCAUUCCCAGUCCCCUUCUCCUUCCUGGGUCAUUUCCAGAACACCCUCAAGGGGUCCCUGCUCUCACUGAUUCUGAGUGCUUGCUCUCUCAACAUUCUGGAUCUCACCUCCUUUUGGGUUCCCCUGAUAAGAUUUCUUAAUCACAGUAUGAUUUAUUGGGCACCUACUAGGUACCAGGUGUGGUGCUAAACAUUUUACAGGCAUGACCUCACUAAAGAACACCAACUGCAGGAAGUGGG